CUGCGCACUCCUUAUGAGAAUCUAACUAAUACCUGAUGAUCUGAGGUGGAACAGUUUCAACCUGAAACCAACCCCCACCCUGCCAUGGAAAAAUUGUCUUCCAGGAAACAUCCCUGGUGCCAUAAAAGUUGAGGACUGCUGUUUAUGACAUUUAUCCACCUAUACUGAUGGCAUUUCACAUCAGUAUUCACAGUUAUGUGAUCUCCUUAUCACACACUUUUUGGAAUCACCGAAGGACAGAUGCUAAUUGGUCUCUGAAAAAAGAUGAAUCUUCUGAUUUCCUUAGCACUAUGUUCACACUAACCUAAUGAGCUAAUUGAGGCUAGACAUGUAACUGGUGGGACUUGAUGUACACAAAGAAAAUUUUUAAAUUGAACGAAUAUUUUAUUUUUUAUAUAUUUUUUAUUGUAAUUUAGGUUCUGGGAUAUAUGUGCAGAUCAUG